AACGAACGCUGGCGGCAGGCUUAACACAUGCAAGUCGAGCGGGCAUCCUCGUGGUGUCAGCGGCAGACGGGUGAGUAACGCGUGGGAACGUGCCCUUCGGUUCGGAAUAACUCAGGGAAACUUGAGCUAAUACCGGAUACGCCCUUUUGGGGAAAGGUUUAUCUGCCGAAGGAUCGGCCCGCGUCUGAUUAGCUGGUUGGUGAGGUUACGGCUCACCAAGGCGACGAUCAGUAGCUGGUCUGAGAGGAUGAUCAGCCACACUGGGACUGAGACACGGCCCAGACUCCUACGGGAGGCAGCAGUGGGGAAUAUUGGACAAUGGGGGCAACCUUGAUCCAGCCAUGCCGCGUGAGUGAUGACGGCCUUAGGGUUGUAAAGCUCUUUUCUCCGGGACGAUAAUGACGGUACCGGAGGAAUAAGCCCCGGCUAACUUCGUGCCAGCAGCCGCAGUAA
rnacentral:rRNA from 1 species